UACGGAGGGUGCAAGCGUUGUUCGGAACCACUGGGCGUAAAGGGCGUGUAGGCGGUCCGCUAAGUCUGAUGUGAAAGCCCUGGGCUCAACCUGGGAACGGCAUUGGAAACUGGCUUACUAGAGUGCGGUAGAGGGGUGUGGAAUUCCCGGUGUAGCAGUGAAAUGCGUAGAUAUCGGGAGGAACAUCUGUGGCGAAGGCGACACCCUGGACCAGCACUGACACUGAGGCACGAAAGCGUGGGGAGCAAACAGG
rnacentral:rRNA from 1 species